rnacentral:rRNA from 1 species
AAGCAUUGUUUCUUAAUCUGAGUGUAUCAAUAUUACCUUGUUCAGAACUUAAAGAGAAAUCUUGAGUUUAUGGACUUCAGGGGGAGUAUGGUCACAAGGCUGAAACUUAAAGGAAUUGACGGAAGGGCACACCAGGAGUGGAGCCUGCGGCUUAAUUUGACUCAACACGGGAAAACUUACCAAGACCGAACAGUAGAAGGAAUGACAGAUUAAGAGUUCUUUCAUGAUUUAUUGGGUAGUGGUGCAUGGCCUUCUUAGUUGGUGGAGUGAUUUGUCAGGUUAAUUCCGGUAACGAACGAGACUGAAACCUAUUAAUUAGUUUUCUGCCUAUAAGACAGAAAUGUUCGCAAGAACAGGUGCGUAAGUACCACUUCUUAAAGGGACACAUUUCAAUUGUCCUAUUUUAAUUGUAGUUAU